UACGAAGGUCCCGAGCGUUAUUCGGAAUCACUGGGCGUAAAGGGAGCGUAGGCGGCGCGGUAAGUCAGAUGUGAAAUCUGGGGGCUCAACCCCCAAACUGCAUUCGAUACUGCCGUGCUAGAGUAAUGGAGGGGUAACUGGAAUUCUCAGUGUAGCAGUGAAAUGCGUAGAUAUUGAGAGGAAGACCAAUGGCGAAAGCAGGUUACUGGACAUUUACUGACGCUGAGGCUCGAAGGCUAGGGGAGCAAAAGGG
rnacentral:rRNA from 1 species